UACAGAGAGUGCAAGCGUUAAUCGGAAUUACUGGGCGUAAAGCGUGCGUAGGUGGAUAUUUAAGUCGGAUGUGAAAGCCCUGGGCUUAACCUAGGAACUGCAUUCGAUACUGGAUAUCUAGAGUAUGGUAGAGGGAAGUGGAAUUUCCGGUGUAGCGGUGAAAUGCGUAGAUAUCGGAAAGAACACCAGUGGCGAAGGCGGCUUCCUGGACCAAUACUGACACUGAAGCACGAAAGCGUGGGGAGCAAACAGG
rnacentral:rRNA from 1 species